rnacentral:tRNA from 1 species
CCCUUCGUGGUCUAAUGGCAAGACGCCAGAAUGUGGAUCUGGAAAUCUAGGUUCGAUCCCUGGCGAAGGGACCA